UACAGAGACUGCAAGCGUUAUUCGGAUUCACUGGGCGUAAAGGGUGCGUAGGCGGUCGGGUAAGUUUGACGUGAAAUCUCCGGGCCUAACCCGGAAACUGCGUUGAAUACUAUCUGGCUAGAGGAAUGGAGGGGAGACUGGAAUACUUGGUGUAGCAGUGAAAUGCGUAGAUAUCAAGUGGAACACCAGUGGCGAAGGCGAGUCUCUGGACAAUUCCUGACGCUGAGGCACGAAAGCCAGGGGAGCAAACGGG
rnacentral:rRNA from 1 species